UACGGGGGGGGCAAGCGUUGUUCGGAAUUACUGGGCGUAAAGGGCUCGUAGGCGGCCAACUAAGUCAGACGUGAAAUCCCUCGGCUUAACCGGGGAACUGCGUCUGAUACUGGAUGGCUGGAGUUUGGGAGAGGGAUGCGGAAUUCCAGGUGUAGCGGUGAAAUGCGUAGAUAUCUGGAGGAACACCGGUGGCGAAGGCGGCAUCCUGGACCGACACUGACGCUGAGGAGCGAAAGCCAGGGGAGCAAACGGG
rnacentral:rRNA from 1 species